GACGAACGCUGGCGGCGUGCCUAAUACAUGCAAGUUGAGCGAUGAAGAUUGGUGCUUGCACCAAUUUGAAGAGCAGCGAACGGGUGAGUAACGCGUGGGGAAUCUGCCUUUGAGCGGGGGACAACAUUUGGAAACGAAUGCUAAUACCGCAUAAUAACUUUAAACAUAAGUUUUAAGUUUGAAAGAUGCAAUUGCAUCACUCAAAGAUGAUCCCGCGUUGUAUUAGCUAGUUGGUGAGGUAAAGGCUCACCAAGGCGAUGAUACAUAGCCGACCUGAGAGGGUGAUCGGCCACAUUGGGACUGAGACACGGCCCAAACUCCUACGGGAGGCAGCAGUAGGGAAUCUUCGGCAAUGGACGAAAGUCUGACCGAGCAACGCCGCGUGAGUGAAGAAGGUUUUCGGAUCGUAAAACUCUGUUAGUAGAGAAGAACGUUGGUGAGAGUGGAAAGCUCAUCAAGUGACGGUAACUACCCAGAAAGGGACGGCUAACUACGUG
rnacentral:rRNA from 1 species